rnacentral:rRNA from 1 species
GACGAGGGGUCCAAGCGUUGUUCGGAAUUAUUGGGCGUAAAGCGGGUGUAGGCGGCUCUAUAAGUCAGAAGUGGAAAGCCCUGGGCUUAACCCGGGAAGUGCUUUUGAUACUGCAGAGCUUGAAUGUGGGAGAGGGUAGUGGAAUUCCAGGUGUAGUGGUGAAAUACGUAGAUAUCUGGAGGAACACCGGUGGCGAAGGCGGCUACCUGGCCCAACAUUGACGCUGAGACCGAAAGCAUGGGGAUCAAACAGG